UAAGUCAGAUGUGAAAGCCCCGGGCUUAACCUGGGAACUGCAUUUGAAACUGGUCAACUAGAGUAUGGUAGAGGAAAGUGGAAUUUCUGGUGUAGCGGUGAAAUGCGUAGAUAUCAGAAGGAACAUCAAUGGCGAAGGCAGCUUUCUGGCCCAAUACUGACGCUGAGGUACGAAAGCGUGGGUAGCAAACAGGAUUAGAUACCCUGGUAGUCCACGCCGUAAACGAUGAUAACUAGCCGUUGGGGGGAUUUACCCUUUAGUGGCGAAGCUAACGCGUUAAGUUAUCCGCCUGGGGAGUACGGCCGCAAGGUUAAAACUCAAAGGAAUUGACGGGGACCCGCACAAGCGGUGGAGCAUGUGGUUUAAUUCGAUGCAACGCGAAGAACCUUACCUGGUCUUGACAUCCUGCGAACUUUCUAGAAAUAGAUUGGUGCCUUCGGGAACGCAGUGACAGGUGCUGCAUGGCUGUCGUCAGCUCGUGUCGUGAGAUGUUGGGUUAAGUCCCGUAACGAGCGCAACCCUUAUCCUUAUUUGCCAGCACAUCAUGGUGGGAACUAUAAGGAGACUGCCGGUGAUAAACCGGAGGAAGGCGGGGAUGACGUCAAGUCAUCAUGGCCCUUACGACCAGGGCUACACACGUGCUACAAUGGGAAGGACAAAGAGCCGCGAAGCCGCGAGGUGUAGCUAAUCUCACAAAUCUUUUCGUAGUCCGGAUUGGAGUCUGCAACUCGACUCCAUGAAGUCGGAAUCGCUAGUAAUCGUAGAUCAGAAUGCUACGGUGAAUACGUUCCCGGGUCUUGUACACACCGCCCGUCAUACCAUGGGAGUGGGUUGCACCAGAAGUGGCUAGUCUAACUUAGUGAGGACGGUCACCACGGUGUGAUUCAUGACUGGGGUAAAGUCGUAACAAGGUAGCCCUACCGGAAGGUGGGGCUG
rnacentral:rRNA from 1 species